UACGUAGGGUGCUAGCGUUGUUCGGAUUUACUGGGCGUAAAGCGCACGUAGGCGGAUUGUUAAGUCGGGGGUGAAAUCCUGGAGCUCAACUCCAGAACUGCCUUCGAUACUGGCAAUCUCGAGUCCGGAAGAGGUAAGUGGAACUCCUAGUGUAGAGGUGGAAUUCGUAGAUAUUAGGAAGAACACCAGUGGCGAAGGCGGCUUACUGGUCCGGUACUGACGCUGAGGUGCGAAAGCGUGGGGAGCAAACAGG
rnacentral:rRNA from 1 species